GGGGGUGACUGGCUUCGACAGGGGAAGUUGGUCACAGACUGCAAGCCGAGGCGCUCUACCCUCGUUAAUCCAGAGCAAAACGAUAAGUGCCAACAACAGCACUGCUCGUCUCGCUAUGGCUGCGUAAAGUAGCCUAGCAGACAAAGGUUACCCGAGGGUAACCCGUCUGCCCCGACCGUGUCCUGUUCGGGCGGCAAGCAGGCGUCACAAACAACAGGAUGCUCGGUGACGGUGCUGGUACGUCGCCGCUAAGACUCACCAGCUAGCGCGUGGCCCGCCUUUGGCCGGUGUAGGUUCCCACAGCGCGAAACACAAACACCGACUAUGCUUGUAGACGUUUGUGGUCGAAUCUUCUGGACGCGGGUUCGACUCCCGCCACCUCCACCA
rnacentral:tmRNA from 1 species